UACGUAGGGUGCAAGCGUUGUCCGGAAUUAUUGGGCGUAAAGAGCUCGUAGGCGGUUUGUCGCGUCUGCUGUGAAAACGCGGGGCUCAACUCCGCGCCUGCAGUGGAUACGGGCAAACUAGAGUGUGGUAGGGGAGACUGGAAUUCCUGGUGUAGCGGUGAAAUGCGCAGAUAUCAGGAGGAACACCGGCGGCGAAGGCGGGUCUCUGGGCCAUAACUGACGCUGAGGAGCGAAAGCGUGGGGGAGCGAACAGG
rnacentral:rRNA from 1 species